GUGUGAUGUGAAGACAAACUAUGGUGUGGACUUUGGUGAAUGUCGGCUCAAUGUCUCUGCAGUGAGGGAUUGGCCCGAACCUGAGAGACCCAACAGUGAGAGACCCAACAGGGUCAGUUGGGGAAUGAUCUUCCUCUACUGUGGACUGGGACUGACAGCAGCAGUGGUUGUUGUGUGAUUUCUUCAUCACCUUCAUUUAUUCACUGUCUUGUCUAAGAGACAAAGUCCAGUGGAGGCUUUGAGAAAAGUUACAGCUCAUCAGGAUCAGUGUGAACAGUUUUAAGCAUGACACACCAUUAAAACACACCCUGCCUUGAUGUUGUUCAGUAAGUGUCCAUGACAUAAGAGUCAGAGGAGGUUAAUGGAGUUGAUGAAGGAAACCUUGUUCUUCACCUUUGUUGUCCAUUAUUUUGACAGGACGUCUCAUCAAACUUUGUCACUUAUUAGACAGAUCUGAAAUCUGCUCUGUUGUACGGCAUGUGUAACUCUGUGCAUUUGUUGCAUCUGAUUGAUAAGAUAUGACAACUGUCAACAUUGACAGUAUAACCUGUAUAUUCUGUACUGCAGGAUGUAAAGAAGAAUUAGGUGAAACUUAGAGCAGAGAACAUUCACUUUGUGUUGUAUGUUUGUUAUGUUCACAUUUCUGUUUGUGUUGUUUUAUUAUCAAGAUUUUAUUUACUGUCUAGAUUUUAAGAACAGAUUUAACUUUCCCUCGUGGAACUUUAACGUCUUCUUGUUGUAAUGCUGCAGUUCAAACUGAAAUGAAGUGCUGCUGUUUGAUUUGUGUUUGUCCAUUCAACAUCCUUCACUGUCACAUCUCUAAAUGUCACAGCUGGUUCAGUAAAUCACUGUAUGGAGAGUUUUCACUCUGUGCCUUCUGAUCGUUACAGUACACUGCCUCUCCUAAUGUUCUGUUUAUAAUGUGUACAUAUUGUAAAUAAAUCUAUAUUUAUAUGAGA